rnacentral:rRNA from 1 species
UACGUAGGGCGCGAGCGUUGUCCGGAAUCAUUGGGCGUAAAGAGCUCGUAGGCGGCCGGUUGCGUCUGCUGUGAAAUCCCGGGGCUUAACCCCGGGCGUGCAGUGGAUACGGGCUGGCUGGAGGCAGGCAGGGGAGAAUGGAAUUCCCGGUGUAGCGGUGAAAUGCGCAGAUAUCGGGAGGAACACCGGUGGCGAAGGCGGUUCUCUGGGGCCUGUGCUGACGCUGAGGAGCGAAAGCGUGGGGGAGCGAACAGG